rnacentral:rRNA from 1 species
UACGAAGGGGGCAAGCGUUGUUCGGAAUUAUUGGGCGUAAAGGGUGCGUAGGCGGUUUGACAAGUCUGAUGUGAAAUCUAUGGGCUCAACCCAUAGACUGCAUCGGAAACUGUCGGGCUUGAGUAUGGGAGAGGUGAGUGGAAUUUCCGGUGUAGCGGUGAAAUGCGUAGAUAUCGGAAGGAACACCUGUGGCGAAAGCGGCUCACUGGACCAUUACUGACGCUGAGGAGCGAAAGCCAGGGGAGCAAACGGG